rnacentral:lncRNA from 1 species
AUGAGUCCACGCGGGGCUGACGGACUCCCUGCCCGCCCAUGUCCCGCACCCUCCUCCGUCUCAGCGGAAACACAGGGGCCAGGAAGCCCUUCAGAAGUUGUCAGGGGUGACCCGGGGAGAGGAGUCCCGCGCAGAAAGUGCAAACGCCUUCGUGGCGGGUGGCUGCGCCCUUCCCCUGGGGCCCCUGCAGCAGAGCCCACAGUGCCAGAAGAAACGUGGGGACAUGUCAUCGUAGAUUUGACCGCCACACCACUGGGUCUUGAUUCCACAUCGGGCGCCACGAUGCUGUUACCUGUGCUGGCCAUACAGGGCAUGCUGGGGGCUCUGAUUUGUGUGAUCAUUUGCUCAGCGGCCCCCUCUGUGACACAGGCAGUGGAGACUACACCUACCCUUUCAGGAAUGACUCCCUGGAGAGCACCUACAUAGCCAACCAGCCCACCCAGGCCACCUGCCAAGAGGCUGAGCACACCGUCCUCCAGACGGAGUCUUCUUCUCCAUCCUCCUGGGCAUCCGAAUGGGGGAAGCUGUCCUGUGCCUCAGCCAUGUUGUCGGUGGACUCUGACACCUUCUGCAAUACAUGUGUCUGAAAAGGACAGGUCAGUGAGUCUAGAACCUAGGAAUUUUCAAGUCAUAUCCCCUGACCUAUUCCUCACAUCUCCCUCCUUCCCUGACCCCAUACUCCCAGAGGUAAUCCAGUAAUUGGGAAAUGCCUUUUGAAAUACAUAACUUCAUUUGCCACUUGGGGCUGAAUUUUCUUUCAGGAGAACAUAACUGACUUAUGACCAGCCUAAGAAAUUGCAGCUGAUUGGCAGAGUUUCCUGGAUUCAGGAGGACUGGAUUUGGUGAAUAUCAAUCCCCAGCGUACUGAGAAGCUGAAGAAAAGUCCCCAGUUUUAAUAAAAGCCAUCAGUUUCCAUCUUCUUUGCUUGAA